UUGGCUUGGUGAUUAAGCGCUUGGCUGCUAACCAAAAGGUUGGUGGUUUGAACCCACCA
rnacentral:tRNA from 1 species